CAUUACAGUUCGAAAUUAUUUUUCAGAUCUGAUUUUUUGUUUUCUUUUUUAGUCUCUUGGUUUUUAUCAGUUUUGUUAGGGAAAUAGGUAAACAGAAACACUUUCCUACAAAAGUGCAUGCGUAAAGUGUUGAAGAUCAGAGUCACAAAGGAUUAGCAGGUCAGAAAUUCUUUUCAAUGGGUGGUGCAGUUUGUAUCUUGAUGGGACAGUGCUGGAAGAGAGAAAGUCAAGCCAGGCUGUGGAUGGAGGGUUUCAUACAAGGGAAAGCAAGAAAACACGCAACAGGUGUGUUGCCAGAGCCUUUAACUGAAGGAAAUAGGAAGCUUUAGAUUUCUGCUCUGUUGUGGAGACUUACAGAGCUGCACCUUGGUUUGCAACGUAACAGCAAUUCCAGUAUAUUUGAAAGGAAAACCACAUGCUGAAAUCUUAGGUAAAGUGGGUCUCGGCUUCAACCUGUGACACACCGCCUGUAUGGCUGUAAAACCUACAGGGACUUCUCAUCCAGCCCUUCAUUCCCCGCUGGCUCUCUGGUAAGAAGGAGACAGAUCCUUCUACUCCAAAGGGGACAGAGGUUGGUUCUGUGCCCAUGGGAUGCUGGAGAUGCACAUAUUCCUUGUUUUCCAGGAGAAUAUUGUUACUGAGUUACUGAGUUCUCCCUAGCUGGAUUUAAAUUGCUGACAGCAGUAUGUUUUAUUGCUCAGCCUUCAUUCACCACACCUAGCAGAGCCAUAAGCCUGUGGGAAAGGCAAUGUUGUGUUUAAUGGGACUUCAGAGCAAAGCACUGAAGAGAACUGUCCGUUUUCGGGUAGGGGAGUAAGCACUCUCCCAAAGCAAAAGCUGCUGGAACAUUUUGGCACUGUUCAUGUAGGUUCUCCAGCGCAACAUCUCAGCAGCUUUCCCUUCCUCACAGCUACUGGGCUUUCCAAGAUUGAGGGGCACAAAGAGCAGCUCUUCAGGUGCAGAACUUCAGGUGUCUGCCACUUCAUUGGCAGACCAGUUUGUUGCAAGGUCAGGCUGUGCCUUGUAGCAGGAGAGCUGCUCGCAUACCCGCUUCCAGGGUAUGGAGCUUUGGGCUGAACUUGGAGGCAUUUGUUCCUUCCUGAAGUUUGCUUUGGAAAGACCCAAUGAAGAUUAGAACAAUUCUGGGAAGUUAGCAGCCCGCCCUGGGCUCUUGCAAACUUUGCAUCCCACAAAUGCACCAAGAAGAGUCCCAGUCUGGGAAUCCUGUGUUGGUUAAAGUUUGAGAAUGGAAAGGCUGGAAGACACGUCUCUCCUUCCAACCGUCCUUCACCUCACCUCCUCUACGCACAGUAACACUCUUCAUGUAGUGUUUCAGCUGAUCAAGAAGGAUCUGUCCUUCAUAACAUAGAAAAAGGACAAGCUACACAGUCAAGAGGCUUGCUACAGAAGCACCGCUCUGCAGUCUUAAUGUCAAACAACAUGAUCCUCAGAUCAGCUCCUACCUUCUAGAGGGAUAUACACCAGGAUUUCGGGUCAGCUGACAAGCUUAUUGCCUUAUUUGAGCAGACCAAGAACCUAUUGCCCUAUGACAAUUCCCUUGCUGGAGGAUCGGAGAUAAUUGUCCUGGAUGUUGGGCAGUGUUAGGUGUUCUGCCCCUAUAGGCAAUGUGCUGCUAAGAUGUGUCUGAGCAAUAAAAUUUUCUAGUCUAACUGUAUCAGACAGGUUUCACGUGAAAAGCGAUCAAAGCCUGCAGUUCAACGGAGUGAGGCAAAAUUUAGUGGCUAAGCAUUAUUGCCAGUGACUCUGAGAUUUAGAGCCAACAGUGGUCUAAACUUUAAGAAAGGUCUUUUUCCUCAGCCUUCAUUACAAAGAAAGGACAUACACCCACGUGUGUCGCUGCCGUGCUUGUAAUCUGUCCAGUCAUUCUGUGAGAUAUUGAAGAGUUGGACGUCUUCAGUCACGAGUCCCUUCAUGCAUCUGCGAGCAUGCUCAAAUCUGAGCUUGCAUGUGCAUUUUGCUGUCUCUAUGGACCUGUCUGGUUUGUAAGAAUAAGGCUGCACUGUUAACCAAAACAUAUUAAAAAGGCAAUUGGAACCUUUCAAAAUUAUUUCCUUUGCUGUGUUGCUUCUUUACUGCAAGUUGGCCUAGUUUUAGAACACAGUUUUUCAUUUCUUCACUGACCUUAUAAAGUCACCACAUUUUCUUUCUUGCUGGUAGUGAAACAGGUGUAUAUCACAGAGAACAGAGGCUAUGAAUGUUCUCUAAAGACAGAUUGUAAAAUAUUCUGUUUAGAAACCAAGGCACUGACAUUCUUGCUGGCUGAUUGCUGUCAUACAAGAAGUGGUAGAUGAUACACUUAGGGAAAUCAAUGAAUAAAAGUAAGUAAUCUCAACUGUAACAAAUAAUCCCAUUGUGUGAGACAAAGUUGUCUACAGAUUGUUUAAAAAUUAUAUAGUAUGUAGUAUAGUAUAUAGAUUUUUUAAAAAUACUCCCUUGCCUCAGAAAAUUUAUCAUUAAAAGGAGAGUCAUUUACAUCAAGGGACACAUCAAUGGACCCCUCAGUUCAAGAAGGACAGGGAACUGCUGGAGGGAGUCCAGUGCAGGUGAUGGAGUGGAGCAUCACCCUUGUGGGGAAAGGCUGAGGAAGCUGGGUCUCUUUAGCUUGGAGGAGACUGAGGGGCAACCUCAUUAAUGUUUAUAAAUAUGUAAAGGGUGAGUGUCAUGAGGAUGGAGCCAGGCCCUUCUCAGUGACAACCAAUGAUAGGACAAGGGGUAAUGGGUUCAAACUGGAACACAAGAGGUUCCACUUAAAUAUGAGAAGAAACUCCUUUUCAGUGAGGGUGACAGAACCCUGGAACAGGCUGCCCAGGGAGGUUGUGAAGUCUCCUUCUCUGGAGACAUUCAAAACCCGCCUGGAUGCCUUCCUGUGUAACCUCAUCUAGGUGUUCCUGCUCCGGCAGGGGGAUUGGACUAGAUGAUCUUUCGAGGUCCCUUCCAGUCCCUAACAUCCUGUGAUUCUGUGACACGGGAAAAUUAUUUAUUAUACUCCUAAGAGUCACAUUUGGAGUGAUUUGACAAUAGAAUGAGUAAUAAAUAUUGUUAAUUACAGUAUUGUUGAAAAAUCAAUUUAUAGUAGUUUAUUAUUGUGUUUUGCUCAAAUUAACUUUUGGUGGUUUGAUUAAAUUUUGGGGCUGUGAAGGCAGGAGUCUAACUGGGAUAGGGCAAAUCUGCAAGGUUUUUGGUGGAUGUGUAGCAGGUUCAGCAAAGCUUCAUUGCUGGAAGCAGUGCGGCCACCAAUCUUGUAAUAAUCUGGUAAUUGACCUUGUAAAUAACCUCAUAAAUGUGAUCAUCUUAGGAGAUUUGCUAAUUCUCUUAGUAGUGAAGUAGCCAAGAACACACAAUGAGGAGAGUCAGGGCCAAAAUCUUCCAAUUUACUGGAAAGCACUUUCAAAAAGUAAACAAAUCCUUUCAAAACAAAAUGCUGAUUUUCAGUCAGAUGGGAUUUUCUAUCUUUAUGAAAUACUGGGCAAUAUCUUUCACCCUCACUGAAAGACAGCAUUUAGUCAUAAAUCCAAAUUUUAUAAUAGAAGUGUUUUAACUAAAGCAUAGUUUAAAGGCACACAUACUAGCUUCUCAGUGUUAUUCAGUAAAACACAAUUGCAGUAUUUCACAUAUCUCAAUAAUGUCAAGCCCAUCUUCUGCUUGCAAAUGAAAAUGUUCAUUGUUUUUGUUCACUAGUUCGAGUUACAUUCUUCUUCUAAAGCCUGCUAGUCUUGAAGAAACCCCAAAGCGGAAAGUUGGAGUCUCAAAGUUACACUGAUUUUGGCCUUUGGCAAGAUUUAAUUAGUAAUCAAUUUUGAGUAUUCUAUAAAAAAUAUAUGUACGUAAUUGUGUAACUGUUAAGAAUUAAGAAAUAUUUGGAAAACAUUUCCAUUUCAAAACUAGGGUUAAAUGAAGAAACAGGUUUUUAUCUGUGAAUAUAUAAUAGCUGAUGCAUCUCUUUCUGUUUUGUUCCAAUCUUAUACUGUUUUCAUUUUAGUAGCCACAUGAAAUCAUGGUUUGGUUUCUUUUGAAGCAAACCCAUGAUAUCCUGCAAUGCUUUCAAAGCAGUGUUCAGAUAGUGGCAUUUACCAGUAUUUAAUUCUUUCUCUCUUCUUCUCUGAAAAUCAAUGUUUUUAUUCUGUUUAUUUAUAAGUAUUUAAAUAUAACCCUUUGUGUAAUACAAGCCUGAUAAUUAUUUUAAGUGAAAAUUAGCAUUCUAUGUGCAAAUUUAGCAAGGUACUAAGGCAUUAUAAUGGAUUACUAUUAAAAACAUCACAGAAAGACUUUCUAAUUUUUUACAUUUAAAAAGUAUAGAUUAUUUGGUCCAAAGUUCUCAUUAUUAUUACAGCCUGACAGAACUAAAGGAAUACCCCAGAAAGGUAGCUGAAAUGAAACAAAAAAUAACUAAAACAUUAACAUUAAGAUCAUUUAUUAUUUUCAAUAUUAUUUUAGAUUAUUUAUUUUCAAUAUUAUUGUUAUUUAUUUAUAUUAUUUUAUUAUAUUAUUCCCAUUGAAAAAAAAAGCAAAACAACAUUUUCUGUCAUAGAGGACUUUGUAUUAAAAAAAUGAAGACUACAGUAAAGCUAAUUCCCAUUACAGUCUUGAAAACUGAAACAUAUUGGAGAGUAUAAUCUGUGUAUAACUAAGUCCCAGAAAGACCUUCUGUCUUUGAUGAGACCAUGGAAAAAGAAGAUCAAAGAUCAAUGCAUCUCUGGCUUUGCUUUCCGAUUUCUAAUUUAAUGUGCUGCACAAUCUUAGCUCAUGCACUUUCCGCACUGAGAUCAGUUUUCAUGAGCAAGCUAUAAACAGCAGCAAAACAACAACAAGGAAGAAAGAAGCCAAGAUAUAGGACCAAAAAUCAGUUUAAUGGAGCAUCUGGAACAUACUGACUUUACUGAGUCUUACUUACUAGUGAUAUGGACUUCAACUAAUGCCUGUUAAGGGUGUAUAACCUAAUUUUUUCUAUUAAUAAUUUUUAAAUAAGUCUGAAGUUAGCUUUUAAUGCUACGAGAUUUUAAAUUGCUGCACUUAGACGAGACCUGCUGUAGGCUGUGGAAAAAUAAACUUUGGUCUUCUCUUAUUUGCAGGAGAUCAGAUUAGUUCUCAUUCUCAUGUCCUGAAACUUUAAUUUCUAUUGGAAGAUCUCUGUGAAUUGGACAUCCAUAAAGUGUCAUAGAAGUAAUAAUUAAGAGUUGGGGUGCGUGUGUGUGUUGAAAUAUAUUUUAAUCUAUUUAAACUUGUCUUUUUUUUUUUUUUUUAAUAGUGAAGUAACUAUUCCUAAGAGCUGUAUGUAGCUUACUUUUCUUUGUGUUGCUUCCCUUAAAGCUGUGUAGAUGAGGAGCGAAUGCUCCCUGCCCUGCUCCCAAUAGUCCCAAAUCCCACACUGUUUUCCAGAAAGAUUUUUAGCAGACCAGCUGGCACUGCACUUUUUGGCAUAGCCUGCCUUCUUUUUCUCUUUUUUUCACUUCAGGCUAUAUGUUAAUACUGUCCUGGGGGACAAAAUUACCGUCAAAAGGCCUGUUCCUGUGACACUGUCUGAAAACUGAUAGCAGACCCUGAGAGCAGGGUAUAGCCAUACGUACUGCAUAUAGAUAACAUUUGUAAGAGAGAACCUGGCUCAUACUGCACUUUUACAGGAAACAUUCAUUGCAUGACAGGAUUUGUUUUGAUUCAGCUCCCAACAGAUGUGAAAUUCCAAGUUUUACAGAUGAGGCUCUUUAUUUUUGAUAAAUAUUUAUUUUCCAAGUCACUAUGGACCAUGUGUAGCUACCCUUUUUGAGCAGAAAUUUGGAAAUAAUAGAAAACUAGUUUUGUAUUUCAAAAGGCUUUGCUAUAUGAAUUUGAAAAAUAUCAGGGUUUUUUGGGGUGUUCUCAUCCUAUUUCAACUUUUAGAUAGAGUCACCUUUUCUUUUAUCUAACUAUAAUUUCAUUACACUUUUUUUUUUUUUUUUUUGAUUUACCCAAAUCUUACUUGAGCAAAUACACCACUUUGUUUUCAGAUGUUGCUUUUUCUGUGUGUGCUAUCCCUUAUUUAGUUCUGCCUCUUUCUUAAAUCUUCUGGUCUGAUUUUUCCUCUAGAAGUGCUUCUCAAAAUUUUUGAACUCUUAUUUAUUAUGAUGUGUUUGGUUGUUGAGCACUGAAGAAAUUAAGUGUAUCAAACAUCAAAAGUCAUCAUGCAGCUGGAUUUCUACUCUGUUCCUAGAUAGUUUUAAGACUUUUGCAUCAGGUCUAAAGCCUACUUAUUGUUGAUUCAAGCUAAUAAUUACCAUGUAAAAUAGACAGAGAAUUUGGUAGACGUUUGAGAUAAGGUGAACUUCCUACACAGGCAAUUACACCGAACAAAGUACUUGAUAUUGAUGUUAAAUGGAAUGAGAACAUAGCAUUUUCAUUUAUUAUAAAGCAUUUCCUCAUUUUCUGCUAACAAGAAUCUGGGCACUAACUGAAAUAUCGAUCAGAAGUUUUAACUGAAAAGCAACCCUGAAAUUAAUACCAGUAGCAGUAACUAUGUAUUUUAUCUGCUCAAUUUUUUGGGUAUGUACAGAUGUCAAGUCUGUCUUGGUGAUUUAAAAAGUGCAGACAGAGUUUAGGCAACUCUCUCAAUGCCAUCCACUGUAUACCUUGUCUUGCUAGAAAUCUAAGUUGCCUGAUAAAUUUCCUGGCAUUGUUCUGUGGUGCUUUUAAGAAUGACAAGUAUUCUAUACAAGAUAAUGAUUUUUUUUCUUAGGGAAACAAAAUACAUUCUUUAUAAAAUCCGAAUUAAUUAGGUGAGGCCAGCAAGCAUAAUUUUCUGAUUUUAGAAUAUAAUAUUUAAAACAAAAAAAGUUGGAAUGUGUUGAUGAACCCAGCAUUCCACAUUCAUCUGGUAUGAAGCAUGCAAACAUGAAUCCUCAGUCAAGCACCAAACAAUGUUAAAUAUCGCUCAGAUGCAAGUUUGAGACACUAACCUUGAGGUCAUGUUCCAAGGAUUGUGUAUAUCUACAAGGUAUACAGAGGAUCAAAUCUCCAAUUCUUCCCAGUCUCAGCUGGGUACAGGCCCAGGCUCUUUUGAUGACUCGCUCUGCUCCAGUGCCAUGACCAACAUGUGGGCAUCCUCCCUCAAGCUAUUCUUUAACCUGUCAUGGCCUUUUUCCCUUUCACCAACACACUUAAGUUUCAGCCCUGCAAGAUUUAAAAUAUUAGGACCUGCAAACAGAAGGAACAGAAGUCAAAAGAAAAAAAGUCUCCUUUUCUUAUCAGUGAUGUUCUACUUGUCCUGCAAGAAAAUAUUAGUUGAAUCAUGGCGAGGUGGUUGGUUAGUACAUUCACUUACCACAAAUUGUAUCGACACUGUUAGGAUAGUUUCUAAGAAAUUUCAAGGGAAAACAGUAUUACAAAUAUAACCUGAUUUCUCUAAACUCUGUACCCUGAAGGACUCAGGAAUUUAUCUCAUUCUUAGAAGAGUCAUUGAGAAGCAUGUAUUUUAGUGAAUGGUGAAUUAGUUCUGCAAUAAAUAAAAAAAUAAUUGUCUGCAAGUAGCUCUAAUGGGAGCUACUGCUUGUAGGACACAAUUUAAGAAGGUAUGUAGGAACUCUUAUUAACUAAGCAUAUAAACACAUUAACUUUGGGAAGUUUACAGACAUGCUCAAAACUGAACAUACUGAACUCAGGAUAUCCAAGAAAUAUGAGAAAAAAUUGCAGGCAGGCUGAAAAUUAUGAUUUCAAGUUCUUGUUUCUAAGAUUCCAAUUUGCUUUAUAUAUUUUUAUCAACAUUUUAAAGUGAAACGCUCUGAAAUUCCAAAACAUUUACUGGAACUGUAGAAGAAGUUUCAGCUGACAUUCAUUUCACUUUGAUAAUUUGCAUUCAGUUAAUGUUGUUUUGUUGAUCAGAAGGUUUUUGAUUAUCUCAAAAGAAAGUCUAGUGUUCUGCAAGCAUAAUCUAUAGUUUGCCAACAAAAAUAAUGUCAACAAAAAUUACAAAUAACAAAAAUUGUUAUUUUAGGGUGCAAGAUAUUAUUAUUUCGUUUUAUUUUCUGUGUGUCUCAUCUUCUUACCUGCUGCUCCUCUUUGUAAACAUUGAUGACUGGAUGUGUUGGGAUAAGAAGUAAUCACAUUAAAUAGGAAAAAUUUAACUGGAAUUGUAUCAUCUGACAACCUUGUUCAAAAAAAUCCCAUGCUGUAAAUUAGUAUUACUGAGAAUAUAUGUUUUUCUGAACAGUAUUUUAAUCUAAUUUUAAAUGCUAUAACUGCUUAUUGCAUGGAUUCUGUUCUCUUGGACAUAUAAAAUAUAUAUGAUGUUUAUCAGAAAAUAAACUGACAAUCAUUUUUAGUGAGCAAACUGACACAAAAGGAAUCAUAGAUGCCCACACAGAAUAGAGGAAGAGAAAGACUCUAAAUCAUCUUUUCACAUUCAAAUACUGACUAAUGCAACAUUAAGAGAAAAAAACAAGGUGAGAUGGCAGUACGAAGGAAAAAAAUAUGAAGAAGAUUCUCUUAAGGAUUUUGACUAAUUAUUACCAAACCCAAAUCACUUAAAAACUCUUUAAAAACCCUCCAAAGUGCUUUACUUAUUAUUGGUUCAUUUUGUAAGGAAGCACAUUAAUUAUUAUUCUUGACAUUGCUAAAUUACUGUCUCUUGCAUUCAUGGAUCUUUAUUAAGCUUUUCAGCACAGCAUGAAAUGUCUUUUAUAAUACUAAAUGUUACUGAGUGAAGAAACAUUCCAGUUCUGUUUGUUUGUU